AUUGAACGCUGGCGGAAUGCUUUACACAUGCAAGUCGAACGGCAGCACGGGGGCAACCCUGGUGGCGAGUGGCGAACGGGUGAGUAAUACAUCGGAACGUGCCCGGUCGUGGGGGAUAACGUAGCGAAAGUUACGCUAAUACCGCAUACGAUCUGAGGAUGAAAGCGGGGGACCUUCGGGCCUCGCGCGAUCGGAGCGGCCGAUGUCAGAUUAGGUAGUUGGUGGGGUAAAGGCCUACCAAGCCGACGAUCUGUAGCUGGUCUGAGAGGACGACCAGCCACGCUGGGACUGAGACACGGCCCAGACUCCUACGGGAGGCAGCAGUGGGGAAUUUUGGACAAUGGGCGCAAGCCUGAUCCAGCCAUUCCGCGUGCAGGACGAAGGCCUUCGGGUUGUAAACUGCUUUUGUAUGGAACGAAAAGGCUCUGGCUAAUACCUGGGGCUCAUGACGGUACCGUAAGAAUAAGCACCGGCUACCUACGUG
rnacentral:rRNA from 1 species